rnacentral:rRNA from 1 species
UACGAAGGGGGCUAGCGUUGCUCGGAAUCACUGGGCGUAAAGGGUGCGUAGGCGGAUUUUUAAGUCAGGGGUGAAAUCCUGGAGCUCAACUCCAGAACUGCCUUUGAUACUGAAGAUCUUGAGUCCGGGAGAGGUGAGUGGAACUGCGAGUGUAGAGGUGAAAUUCGUAGAUAUUCGCAAGAACACCAGUGGCGAAGGCGGCUCACUGGCCCGGUACUGACGCUGAGGCACGAAAGCGUGGGGAGCAAACAGG